GUUGCUUCCUUUGGUUACCGACUUGGUGCCAUUCCGUAACCUGGGAUCUUGACACUUCCUGCCUCCGCCUGCGGUCCUUGGACCUAGCUCUUCGUUGCAGAGCUUUGAAGAGAAGCGGUGGAAUUGCUUGCUUUCGGGACGGGCAGGAGAAAUCACUAGGGGAACACCAGUGCCCCGUGUCUGUCUAUCCUCCUGGGCUAACGGGCAGGGCAAACCCUGGGCCAGACCCAUCGAUAGUCCACGGGUUCCCCAGACCGCAUGGCAGUACCCAAGCGAGGGAAAGAGGGAACGAUUUCUGGGGCCCAGAAGACCCACGGAAGAGGGCGUUAUUGAGCUGGGUGACUGGAGGGGGACAGGCUUUCCACCCUGCAGUGGGGCGGGGCGCAAGGCCAGGCGACUAGUCUCAUGGCUUCCGGACUGUAAGAUCAGGUUACCCCUACCCUACAGUCUAACCUCUGCUCCCCAGUCCCCUCCUAGAAUGGCCUAGAAGGGAGACCCUCCUGCCUGCCUCCUAAGACCCCCCGAAGGCUCUGAGGCACGUGGCCGCAUGAAUGUGGUCGAAGGCCUGUAGACCCGGUUUGGGGACUUAGCAGUGUCCCCGGGACUGCCCAGUGAGCCUCUGCGCUCUUAAACACUCACCAUGCUGCUCUUACUCCGGAGCUGCCCAGAGUCCCAGCAAGAUCUGGUGGGGUCGGUAGCAGACCACGUGUCCUGCCUUUCCUCAGCUCAGUGCCUGUUCUGGGGAGUCCUCCCAGCGGGGUUCUGGCCUGCAUCGGCCCUGGACCAGCCUGGUGUCAUCUGUGGAACCAUUUUGUUCUACACCCCAGUUGUGUGAUUUGUGGGGCCAGGCCGUUCCUAAUGCCCAACCCAUAGAUACGAUGACGGGGCUUUCAGUGAAGGAUUCAGCUCCUAUUUGUCUUUCCCAGGUUCCCCUGGACAGACAGUGGGGAAGGGCAGCAGAAGUUAGCCCAGCCUUUCCCAUUAGUGUCCCAAGUCUUUGAGAUGGGUAAAGAGGUUCUCAGGGCUGAUCUGGC
rnacentral:lncRNA from 1 species